CCUUCCAUGCCUCUCAACGAUGCACAAACAGGAAGGU
rnacentral:ncRNA from 1 species